rnacentral:rRNA from 2 species
AGUCGAACGGCAGCGGGAAAGUAGCUUGCUACUUUUGCCGGCGAGUGGCGAACGGGUGAGUAAUGUAUCGGAACGUGCCCAGUAGCGGGGGAUAACUACGCGAAAGCGUGGCUAAUACCGCAUACGCCCUACGGGGGAAAGGGGGGGAUCUUAGGACCUCUCACUAUUGGAGCGGCCGAUAUCGGAUUAGCUAGUUGGUGGGGUAAAGGCCUACCAAGGCGACGAUCCGUAGCUGGUUUGAGAGGACGACCAGCCACACUGGGACUGAGACACGGCCCAGACUCCUACGGGAGGCAGCAGUGGGGAAUUUUGGACAAUGGGGGAAACCCUGAUCCAGCCAUCCCGCGUGUGCGAUGAAGGCCUUCGGGUUGUAAAGCACUUUUGUCAGGGAAGAAAAGGUUUCGGAUAAUACCCGGAACUGAUGACGGUACCUGAAGAAUAAGCACCGGCUAACUACGUGCCAGCAGCCGCGGUAAUACGUAGGGUGCAAGCGUUAAUCGGAAUUACUGGGCGUAAAGCGUGCGCAGGCGGUUCGGAAAGAAAGAUGUGAAAUCCCAGGGCUCAACCUUGGAACUGCAUUUUUAACUACCGAACUAGAGUAUGUCAGAGGGGGGUGGAAUUCCACGUGUAGCAGUGAAAUGCGUAGAUAUGUGGAGGAACACCGAUGGCGAAGGCAGCCCCCUGGGAUAAUACUGACGCUCAUGCACGAAAGCGUGGGGAGCAAACAGGAUUAGAUACCC